AUGGUGCUGCUACAAGGGGCUGCCUCGCCGUUGCUCCUCCUCCUGCUGUUCGCCACGGCGGCCGCGGCGGCGCCCAUGGAGCUCUACUUCUCGCAGGCGGAGCUGGCGCGCAUUGCCGGGUACGGCGAGGAGCCGGUCUCGACGGUGCUGGUGUCCGGGCAGGUCGCGUGCCAGCUCUGCCUCCGGCCAGGCUCUGACCUUCUCACCUUCGACCUGCCAGCAGGUAGUAAGGUGGCAGUAACCUGCACAACUGAAGGUUGGAACACCAUGGCUAACUCUGCAUUUGCAACAACAAACGAGUACGGCAUUUUCUCUAUAGAGCUCCCGUCCCGGCUCCACGCUACACCAAGCCUGGAGAAUGCAUGCUCAGUCAAGGUGCUGGAGCUUCCGCCGGACUCCGCGUGCCGUGUCGGCGGCAGUCACGUGUCCUCUCACGGCCUCCGGCUAUCUUCAUCGGACGGCAGCGUCCGGACCUACACAGCAGGGGUCAUACGGCUGCAGCACGACGGCACACCAGCCAAUAAGUGCGUGCAGGAAGAGGACACGAGUGAUAGGAGAUGA
rnacentral:rRNA from 1 species